rnacentral:rRNA from 1 species
UACGUAGGGCGCAAGCGUUGUCCGGAAUCAUUGGGCGUAAAGAGCUCGUAGGUGGUCUGUUACGUCUGCUGUGAAAUCCUAGGGCUUAACCCUGGGCCUGCAGUGGAUACGGGCAGACUAGAGGUAGGUAGGGGAGAAUGGAAUUCCCGGUGUAGCGGUGAAAUGCGCAGAUAUCGGGAGGAACACCGAUGGCGAAGGCAGGUCUCUGGGCCAUAACUGACGCUGAGAAGCGAAAGCAUGGGGAGCGAACAGG